rnacentral:lncRNA from 1 species
CCACUGCACUAUAAGAGAUGACAUGGUUUCAGAUUGCUUGGCAGAUGAGAGCAUGUCUUCACUUCGUUUCUCCAUGUGCAUCUCUCCUUCCUGACUGUCAAUCCUACUGAAUAUACACAUAAGCACACUCAGGCCAACAAAAGUUGCUUUACUGAGUUGUGCAGAUUGAAUCUACUGAGCAAAACAAACACUAAUUUAGGCUGUAAUAUAAAUUCUUAUUAAGCUAUAAUUUUUCCGGUAGACAUUCAUUUUCUAUAUGGGGAUUGUUUUAAACCUAUUUGAAAAGCCAAUUCAAUCAUAUAUCAUAUCUAAUUAUGUACCCUGUUUUUAUUGCCUAACAUUGUAUACUAUGUAAUUUAUUAAUGUUUUGUAUAACAUUUAAAAUUUUUAUUUCAAAAAGUAAAAGCUUAUACUUUCAUCAUAUGUCAGUUACCAUUUGAAACAUUUUACAUAUAUUAACAGUUAAUGUUCACAGCCAUGCUAUUAUCUCAAUUUUCCAGAUUAAAAAGACAAACAGGCACAUAGAAGUUAGUUAAUUGACCUGCCCAUUUUUACACAGGGAGUAAGGGACAGAGCAGGCACACAAACCCAAGCAGUCUGGUUCCAGAGUCUGUAUUUUUACCUCUAAGCUGCUCUGUCCCUCAUAGCUAUGUCCCUGCAUGCCAUAAAAUAUACCUACCAGAGUUUUUCUAAAUAGUACUCUGUGAUUAGACAUUUAGGUUCAAAACUGUUGUUUUCUUUGUUUGCUAUCUAUGCUGAAAUCACCUCACCACAAAACUCUUUUUU